GGAGUGAAAAAGAACCUGAAACCGUGUACGUACAAGCAGUGGGAGCACGCUUAGGCGUGUGACUGCGUACCUUUUGUAUAAUGGGUCAGCGACUUAUAUUCUGUAGCAAGGUUAACCGAAUAGGGGAGCCGAAGGGAAACCGAGUCUUAACUGGGCGUUAAGUUGCAGGGUAUAGACCCGAAACCCGGUGAUCUAGCCAUGGGCAGGUUGAAGGUUGGGUAACACUAACUGGAGGACCGAACCGACUAAUGUUGAAAAAUUAGCGGAUGACUUGUGGCUGGGGGUGAAAGGCCAAUCAAACCGGGAGAUAGCUGGUUCUCCCCGAAAGCUAUUUAGGUAGCGCCUCGUGAAUUCAUCUCCGGGGGUAGAGCACUGUUUCGGCAAGGGGGUCAUCCCGACUUACCAACCCGAUGCAAACUGCGAAUACCGGAGAAUGUUAUCACGGGAGACACACGGCGGGUGCUAACGUCCGUCGUGAAGAGGGAAACAACCCAGACCGCCAGCUAAGGUCCCAAAGUCAUGGUUAAGUGGGAAACGAUGUGGGAAGGCCCAGACAGCCAGGAUGUUGGCUUAGAAGCAGCCAUCAUUUAAAGAAAGCGUAAUAGCUCACUGGUCGAGUCGGCCUGCGCGGAAGAUGUAACGGGGCUAAACCAUGCACCGAAGCUGCGGCAGCGACGCUUAUGCGUUGUUGGGUAGGGGAGCGUUCUGUAAGCCUGUGAAGGUGUGCUGUGAGGCAUGCUGGAGGUAUCAGAAGUGCGAAUGCUGACAUAAGUAACGAUAAAGCGGGUGAAAAGCCCGCUCGCCGGAAGACCAAGGGUUCCUGUCCAACGUUAAUCGGGGCAGGGUGAGUCGACCCCUAAGGCGAGGCCGAAAGGCGUAGUCGAUGGGAAACAGGUUAAUAUUCCUGUACUUGGUGUUACUGCGAAGGGGGGACGGAGAAGGCUAUGUUGGCCGGGCGACGGUUGUCCCGGUUUAAGCGUGUAGGCUGGUUUUCCAGGCAAAUCCGGAAAAUCAAGGCUGAGGCGUGAUGACGAGGCACUACGGUGCUGAAGCAACAAAUGCCCUGCUUCCAGGAAAAGCCUCUAAGCAUCAGGUAACAUCAAAUCGUACCCCAAACCGACACAGGUGGUCAGGUAGAGAAUACCAAGGCGCUUGAGAGAACUCGGGUGAAGGAACUAGGCAAAAUGGUGCCGUAACUUCGGGAGAAGGCACGCUGAUAUGUAGGUGAAGCGACUUGCUCGUGGAGCUGAAAUCAGUCGAAGAUACCAGCUGGCUGCAACUGUUUAUUAAAAACACAGCACUGUGCAAACACGAAAGUGGACGUAUACGGUGUGACGCCUGCCCGGUGCCGGAAGGUUAAUUGAUGGGGUCAGCGCAAGCGAAGCUCUUGAUCGAAGCCCCGGUAAACGGCGGCCGUAACUAUAACGGUCCUAAGGUAGCGAAAUUCCUUGUCGGGUAAGUUCCGACCUGCACGAAUGGCGUAAUGAUGGCCAGGCUGUCUCCACCCGAGACUCAGUGAAAUUGAACUCGCUGUGAAGAUGCAGUGUACCCGCGGCAAGACGGAAAGACCCCGUGAACCUUUACUAUAGCUUGACACUGAACAUUGAGCCUUGAUGUGUAGGAUAGGUGGGAGGCUUUGAAGUGUGGACGCCAGUCUGCAUGGAGCCGACCUUGAAAUACCACCCUUUAAUGUUUGAUGUUCUAACGUUGACCCGUAAUCCGGGUUGCGGACAGUGUCUGGUGGGUAGUUUGACUGGGGCGGUCUCCUCCUAAAGAGUAACGGAGGAGCACGAAGGUUGGCUAAUCCUGGUCGGACAUCAGGAGGUUAGUGCAAUGGCAUAAGCCAGCUUGACUGCGAGCGUGACGGCGCGAGCAGGUGCGAAAGCAGGUCAUAGUGAUCCGGUGGUUCUGAAUGGAAGGGCCAUCGCUCAACGGAUAAAAGGUACUCCGGGGAUAACAGGCUGAUACCGCCCAAGAGUUCAUAUCGACGGCGGUGUUUGGCACCUCGAUGUCGGCUCAUCACAUCCUGGGGCUGAAGUAGGUCCCAAGGGUAUGGCUGUUCGCCAUUUAAAGUGGUACGCGAGCUGGGUUUAGAACGUCGUGAGACAGUUCGGUCCCUAUCUGCCGUGGGCGCUGGAGAACUGAGGGGGGCUGCUCCUAGUACGAGAGGACCGGAGUGGACGCAUCACUGGUGUUCGGGUUGUCAUGCCAAUGGCACUGCCCGGUAGCUAAAUGCGGAAGAGAUAAGUGCUGAAAGCAUCUAAGCACGAAACUUGCC
rnacentral:rRNA from 1 species